CCUGCGGCCAGCCAGAGGCUCCUAGGUCUGGCCCUGGUGACCCACGUCCUCACUCUUUCUGGCUGACUCACAGCCUCUCAAGCCACACUCCAGCCGAUGCCACCCGUCCUUGGCCUGGCCCCUCUGUCCCGACUCUACACAGUCACUAAUUACCUUAGUCAUCUUUCCAUCCAUGCUUGUUAAGCUAAUGGGGAAGGCAAACAGAAAUCUCAGCAAAUGUGGAAAAUUCCUGCUGAUGAGGAUGGAGCAUUUGUUUGAGAACUCAAGACUCUUUAGUCCUGGUCCUGCGAACUUAGGAGCUGGGUUCCUAGACCUUGCAGAUCUGACAAAUGCCAAGGACUUUUCCUAGGUGGAAUCUGGUCCAGAGACCACCCCAGGCUGCUCAGAAUGGCUCAAACUAGCUGCAUCUCCAGAAACCCCUCAGGAGUCAGUUUUACAUGGAACUAAUCAUCCAGGCUAAGAAAGCGAGCACUGCCAGCUUCCCACCCUCUUGGCUGAUGUCCUUCCAGUUGUCAUCCCAACCACAGGCCGGCACUCUUCUGUCUUCUGUUCCUGACUGCUAGGAUUGUCUCACUUGGAACAUUACAUAAAUGAAAUCUCCUCAUAUGUACUCGAUUAUGUCUGUUUUUUUU